GCCUGGGUGGCUCAGUGGUUGAGCAUCUGCCUUUGGCUCAGGUCAUGAUCCCAGAGUCCUGGGAUUGAGUCCCACAUCAGGCU
rnacentral:tRNA from 1 species